GAGAAUGAUAUAAAAUUACAGAGUAAUACAACUAAAAUUUACAGUCAAAUUACAAUGAAAAACUAGGGAUUACAGUGUAAAUCUCAGUCAAAUACAAAGUAAAUCUGAGGUAAAUUCCAAUGUAAGUCUCGGUCAAAUUACAGUGUAAUAUCUGGGACAUAUUACAGUGCAAAUCUAGGGAAUUACAAUGUAUAACCAAGUCAAAUUACAUAGUAAAUCUGAGACAAACUUAUUCUAAAUCUCGGUUAAAUUACAGUGUAAUAUCUGGGGCAUAUUACAGUGCAAAUAUGGGGAAUUAUAGUAUAAAACUCAGUCAACUUACAUAGUAAAUCUAGGCAAAUUCCAGUAUAAAUCUCGACCAAAUCACAGUGUAAUAUCUGGACAUAUUACAGUGCAAGUCUAGGGGAUUACAAUGUAAAUUUUGGUCAAAUUACAGAGUAAAAGUAGCUAAAAUAUACAUAGAAAACCUAAGGCAUAUUACAGUGUGAAAUGUAGGGGAUUGGAUUAUAAAUUUUGGUCAAAUUACCGAGUAAAAGAAGCUAAAAUGUACAUAGUAAAUCUGGGGCAUAUUACAGUGUAAAUCUAGGGGAUUAGAGUGCAAAUCUCGGGUAAAUACAGCAUAAAAGAAGCUCGAAUUCACAAAGAAACUCUGGGCAUAUUAUCGUGUAAAUAUAGAGGAUUACGGUGCAAACCUGAGUCAAGUUAGAAUGUAAAAGAAGCUCCAAUUUACAGAGAAACUCGAGGCAUAUCUGCACAUACUAGUAAUAUACACUGCCUACCUGAUAUUUGCAGAUUAAGAAGGCUACACUGGAUAUAUUACACCACAAAAUCUAACACUAACAUUCAGAACAAAUCACAGUGCUAUUAGACAUGGAAUUACAAAGUAAAUACCCAGGAAUUACAAUGAUAAUGCACAGAGAAAUACAUGGGAUUACCCUCAGACUACACUGCUCAAUCUGCAAAAAACUCAUACGGAAAUAAGCACUGAAAAAGUUCUAAUAGAGGGAAACAAUUAAUACUACCAAAAUACAAACAACUACAAAAAUAUAGAGAACUGCCAUGAACCAACCAGCCGAAGCAAAUAUAGAGCUACCUAUUCAGCAGAAAUCACUGAACCCUAACCACAAAAACAACCCUCUCAAGACACCUACCACCGAGUACAUUUCAUGGGAUCAAAACAUGGAUAUCUGAUACCAAAUAGCGGAACCACAACCCAGAACAACAUACCAAUUCAUACAUCUACAAAAAGAGCAGAGGGGGAACCAGCGGAAUCUGCACAGACCUCAAAGUAGAACCAAUAGCUGCAUCUACAAGGGCUGACAAAAUCCACAACAAC
rnacentral:lncRNA from 1 species